GGGUGCCCUAUGGGUACUCUAUGGGUGCCCUAUGGGUCCUCUAUGGGAUAUGGGUGCCCUAUGGGUGCCCUAUGGGUGCUAUAUGGGAUAUGGGAUCCCUAUGUGUAUCACAGCCCCCAAUCCCCCCCGCAGGCGCUGAGGCCAUGGCUGAGCCGUGCCCUAUGGGGUGUGGGUGCCCUAUGGGUGCCCUAUGGCUGCUCUAUGGGAUAUGGGUGCCCUAUGGGUACCCUAUGGGUACUCUAUGGGAUAUGGAUGUCCUAUGGGUGCCCUAUGGGAGCCCUAUGGGUGCCCUAUGGGUGCUGUAUGGGAUAUGGGUGCCCUAUGGGUGCCCUAUGGGUGCU
ensembl:lncRNA